AAAGGGCCACAGGAGGCACGGUCUGAGUUCAUCAGAGUGCAUUUAGAAGCAGAACAACACCCUGGUUGUAAUCCUGUCAUCCUCAGAUACAGAAAGGAGCUGCAGCACAAAUGAAAAGUCUCAGGGUGGGGAGGCUAGUGUCCAGUUCAGGGCUUCGCCUGUUCCUGACAGUCCUGUAUCUGCUCACAAUGAGCUGCAGCUCCAAGUGUGACAGUCGAAGUGUCAGUCCAACCAUUCUCCACCACAGAAGAAGUUAUCAAUUGCACUGUUGAACUGGAGUCAUCAACUCUAAAGAGAACCAGGGAAGCGCCAAAUACUGAACCUGGACACAAGGAGGAUUCCUCCAUGCUAUCUUCUCCAGCUUCUAGACAACCUGACACUGAUAAAAGGAGGAAAAUAGCGUUUUGGCUUUUCCUGCUGCAACUGAUUUAUGAUAAGGUUACCCAACCUGGGGAUGACAUGCUAUAUCAACUCCAUCCUCCAAAGCGUCCUUACUGACCCUGAGCUGCUCUCACCCAAGAUCCCAGCUCUUCAGAUGGUUUCUAGAUAUUGAAGUCAGUCGCUACUCCAACAUCAGAGAGGAGAAUAAGUCGCUUCCAUCCUCUUUUUAAAUGGACCGUCGCUGAGUAUA